AGGAAAGGGAAACGUAGCCACUUGUGGCACAAGACUGGGGCUCCCUGGGGGCCCAGAUAAAAAGCUCUAGACAGGGGCCUGAACCGGCCUCGCUGAGACACCUUGGUUUCUUAGCAAGCGAAAUUGAUCACCAACAUCUAGGACGCUUGGACCCCUAUUUGCGGGGGGGUACCCCAAACCCACUCAAACUAAAGGUCUUCUCCCCUUGUAGUCUUGGUGGGUUAUAAAUCGCCCCUUAGACAGUUUCCUCUGACCCAAAUUAUGCAGUUUGCUGCCAUCUACCGUCCGUUCGGGGACAGGCGGCUUUGGCACAGCAAGUGGCUGACACUCGCCGAGCCCUGCCGGUUUGCUUAGAGCCCUUGGCGCGAGGUUCGGUGGGAUUCUGGCCCACGCUGGUGCCCUCUACUGCAUUUUAGUCCCCGAGUGUAGAUUAGAAAGCGGAAUGAAUCUCUUGUCACCUUAUCCUCAAUCUUCUCCCAUCUCCUGCAGAUCCCCACUCACCCCAGUCACAAACCUGAAGGCUGGUAGAGGAAGAGGGAGUCGAGAGGAGUAACACUGUAACCCACGGACAGAGGGUACUGAGCCAAAGGGUUGAGGGCUCAGACCCACGACCCUCAUCACCACCUAAGACACGAGACACGAUUGGGGGCUGCUAGAGAGAUGUGAGGCCAAAUCUGUUCAAGGUUUAUUUAGUUUUCUUCUCAGCCAAGGGAGGUAGGGGGUACGGUCAAGGGAGGCGCCGACCAGGCAGUUCCACUCGGUUGUCAAAAGACAAACCCGGUCUGUAUUCUUCCAGUUGGUUUGUGGUUUUUGCCAAUUCCUAAGCUGGCGAGUCCUUAUUGAAGGAGUUGAACUGAAUUUUCUGGAAACUGUUGGUGUCUGCAAGUGAGUGUUGGUCCCCUCCCCCAUUCUCGACCGUUUCUAGCGAAAUCGACGCAAAA
rnacentral:lncRNA from 1 species